rnacentral:rRNA from 1 species
GACGAACGCUGGCGGCGUGCUUAACACAUGCAAGUCGAACGGAAAGGCCCUGCUUUCUUGGUCUUCUCGGGUGGCGAACGCGUGCGUAACACGUAUGUAACCUUCUCUUCUCUUUGGUAUAACUUCAGGAAACUGGAGCUACUACCAUAUCGCAUCUCCUCUUCCAUGGUGGGGGUUGGAUAUUUUCGGCGGUUGGGGUUGGACUCGCGGCUUACCAGCUUGUUGGUUGGGUAGUUGCUUACCAAGCCUUUGACGGGUACCCGGCAUGAGAGGGUGGCCGGGCACAUGGGGACUGAGAGACGGCGCAGACUGCAACGGGAGGCAGCAGGGGGGAAUAUUGCACAAUGGGCGGAAGCCUGAUGCAGAAACGCCGCGUGCGGGAUGACGGCUUGCGGGUUGUAAACAGCUGUAGCCUGAGACGAAGCGUGAGUGACGGUAAUGAGUAAAGAAGCACCGGCUAACUACGUG